rnacentral:rRNA from 1 species
AGGGAAUCUUCCGCAAUGGACGAAAGUCUGACGGAGCAACGCCGCGUGAGUGAAGAAGGUUUUCGGAUCGUAAAACUCUGUUGUUAAAGAAGAACAAGGAUGAGAGUAACUGCUCAUCCCCUGACGGUAUUUAACCAGAAAGCCACGGCUAACUACGUGCCAGCAGCCGCGGUAAUACGUAGGUGGCAAGCGUUGUCCGGAUUUAUUGGGCGUAAAGCGAGCGCAGGCGGUUCUUUAAGGCGGAGGUGAAGGCCCCCGGCGCAACCGGGGAGGGGCAUUGGAAACUGGAGAACUUGAGUGCAGAAGAGGAGAGUGGAAGGCCACGUGUAGCGGGGAAAUGCGUAGAGAUGUGGAGGAACACCAGUGGCGAAGGCGACUCUCUGGUCUGUAACUGACGCUGAGGCUCGAAAGCGUGGGGAGCAAACA